GGCACUAUGGUGUAGUGGCAGCACUUGGGAUUUUGAUUGCAUGGUUCUAUAUAAUCUUCUUCCCACAACGCAGGUUCGAACCCUGCUAGUGCCU